rnacentral:rRNA from 1 species
ACGAACGCUGGCGGCAUGCCUAACACAUGCAAGUCGCACGAGACCUUCGGGUCUAGUGGCGCACGGGUGCGUAACGCGUGGGAACCUGCCCUUAGGUUCGGAAUAACUCCCCGAAAGGGGUGCUAAUACCGGAUAAUGUCUUCGGACCAAAGAUUUAUCGCCUUUGGAUGGGCCCGCGUUGGAUUAGCUAGUUGGUAGGGUAAAAGCCUACCAAGGCGACGAUCCAUAGCUGGUCUGAGAGGAUGAUCAGCCACACUGGGACUGAGACACGGCCCAGACUCCUACGGGAGGUAGCAGUGGGGAAUAUUGGACAAUGGGCGAAAGCCUGAUCCAGCAAUGCCGCGUGAGUGAUGAAGGCCUUAGGGUUGUAAAGCUCUUUUACCCGGGAUGAUAAUGACAGUACCGGGAGAAUAAGCUCCGGCUAACUCCGU